AACGAACGCUGGCGGCAGGCUUAACACAUGCAAGUCGAACGCCCCGCAAGGGGAGUGGCAGACGGGUGAGUAACGCGUGGGAACGUACCUUUCAGUUCGGAAUAACUCAGGGAAACUUGUGCUAAUACCGGAUACGCCCGCAAGGGGAAAGAUUUAUCGCUGAAAGAUCGGCCCGCGUUGGAUUAGCUAGUUGGUGGGGUAAAGCCUACCAAGGCGACGAUCCAUAGCUGGUCUGAGAGGAUGAUCAGCCACACUGGGACUGAGACACGGCCCAGACUCCUACGGGAGGCAGCAGUGGGGAAUAUUGGACAAUGGGCGCAAGCCUGAUCCAGCCAUGCCGCGUGUGUGAUGAAGGCCUUAGGGUUGUAAAGCACUUUUCACCGAUGAAGAUAAUGACGGUAGUCGGAGAAGAAGCCCCGGUAACUUCGUG
rnacentral:rRNA from 1 species